rnacentral:rRNA from 1 species
GACGAACGCUGGCGGCGUGCCUAACACAUGCAAGUCGAGCGAUUCUCUUCGGAGAAGAGCGGCGGACGGGUGAGUAACGCGUGGGUAACCUGCCCUGUACACACGGAUAACAUACCGAAAGGUAUGCUAAUACGAGAUAAUAUGCUUUUAUCGCAUGGUAGAAGUAUCAAAGUUUUUGCGGUACAGGAUGGACCCGCGUCUGAUUAGCUGGUUGGUAAGGUAACGGCUUACCAAGGCGACGAUCAGUAGCCGACCUGAGAGGGUGAUCGGCCACAUUGGAACUGAGACACGGUCCAAACUCCUACGGGAGGCAGCAGUGGGGAAUAUUGCACAAUGGGCGAAAGCCUGAUGCAGCAACGCCGCGUGAGCGAUGAAGGCCUUCGGGUCGUAAAGCUCUGUCCUCAAGGAAGAUAAUGACGGUACUUGAGGAGGAAGCCCCGGCUAACUACGUGCCAGCCGCCGCGGUAA